UACAUGGGUGGUAGGGGUCUAAGCACUUGAACCAUCACCUGCUGCUUCCUAGGGCAUGCGUGGCAGAAAGCCGAUGUCAGAAACAGAGGUGGGACUGGAACCAGGGCCCUCUGAUGUGGGAUGGCGGCAUCCCUAGCAGUAACUUAACCUCUGUGCCAAAUGCCCUCCUGGGUGGGUUUCAGCCCCUGCACACUCCCCCACCCCAAACAGGAUGCUUUUUUAAUCACUACCCUCUCCUCUUCCUGACGAGGCCUCUAGCACAGCCCUGGCCAAAGCCUGGCUGGGUGAAGGAAGCAGCUUCCAGCUCUUGCUCACAGCUGCCCGCCAGCAAACGGUGUUCUCAGUUUGGGCAGUUUCCUUUUGGAUUUCCCUCCCUGGGGAUCGUCAGUAGGCGACGCUGAGCCCCUCUGUGGAUGGGACAGGUCUAGCCACAGAUAGGACGUCAGCGGAAGCCCUAGUCAACUGCGGAGGGCCAGGCUGGGAAGGGUGACUGUUUUCAAAUGAGGACGAGGCCCCAUUCAU